CCUUUCUCCCCCUCCCACCUUACCUCCUAUUUCUCUUUCCCAAGAAUUGCAAUGGAAACCUACAUCCGCCAGAGGCAGCUCAUCAUGUCACCUUUGAUAACAUCACACAUGAUUGGGGAGAAUGAACCACUCACUUCAGUCUUGAAUAAAGUGAUUGCAGCAAAGGAAGUGAAUCACAAAGGGCAAGGCCUUUGGGUAUCCUUGAAGCUCUUGCCCGGUGACCUCACACAGGUUCAGAAGAAUUUUUCACACUUGGUUGAUAGAUCAACAGCGAUAGCCCGGAAGAUG
rnacentral:sRNA from 1 species